rnacentral:lncRNA from 1 species
GGCAAGUGAAUGAAAUCAAUGUCCUUGUUAACAAAUGCACAGAUAACGUGUCUACCAUUUAUGGUAGCCACUGAUACACCAGUGAGAAGGAAAAGGGGGAUAUUUCUGGAGGGAUAUUUGUGAAAGGUUUAUUUUUUCAUUUCAUAUUUCCGCAUUGAAAUACCUAUAUCUAAAGUAAUGUGAAUCAGAUCCUGUUGUUGACAAAGACAUUCAUUUGCUGAAAAUAACGCCAUACAGUAUAGAUACAAUUAUAACAGUCCAAAUAAUAGGACGUUUUGGGACCGCGUGCUAACUUUUGACUAUCUGAAUUACGAGAAGUCAGGCAUACUGAUUUCUUCAUUUGCAAAUGCUGUAAUUUUGUGUUUUGUGGACACAAACACAGUGUUCAGAUAGAUCUACAAAUGACUGAUGAAUUAUAGAAUUAUGUAAUAAUUUAUAAUAAAAACAAACUUGAAAGUGUCAUAUAUAAUAAAUACAAGACAAGACAGGUUUUAUUGUCGGCAAGACAUAUAUAAGGUCUAACAAAACAGCAUAAGCUCUAUAUGAGUUUUUUAAUGACUACACUGACUUUUGUUUUUUACAAACCAGUAGUGUUUUUUACAGAGUCAGAUUUAUAAGUAAAUUAAUACGAAGUUAUUUUACACAUCUGACCUUCAGUUUGUACUCAUUUAAAAUUUUCUUCCAGAAUUAACAGUAUAACAGACAGGUUGGUGGAGGAGGUGAUGAAAAAAUGGAAGGAUUUGAAGGAAAACCCUGAAUUUCUUUGAUGAUCUAAAAAAUGAAUGUGAAGUUAUCAAAUGCAGAAAAUCUCUGUGGAGUCAGCCUUUGUACAAAAUAUGUUAUUUUAGCACUUUGUUCCUCAUUUAAUCAUUUACUUAACUAUAUAUAGUAACCAUACAGGGGACCUCAGUUUAAACCCUCCCCUUACAGAAGCAAGCAUCAGCGGCGUACAUAAUGUGUACUUGUUGCGUACAUGCUGCGCACACAGCAGUACGCCAGAGAAGUAUGUUUUACAUACACCGCAUGCUGCAUACAUGCUGCAUACUAUUUCACAGAGUACACAGCAUGUAUGCAGGAGACAGUAGUACACAAUAUGUAUGUGGCACAGUGAUUGAAAUUUUCAGAAGUACACUUCAUAUACACAGCAAGAAAACAGAUUUUUCUAGCAACUCUGGUUAUAGAUAAGACCCAUCAUGUGAUCUCUUUGGAGCAUGCCCAGUAAUAACUUCCUGUCUAUUUGAAAAGUAGAGCUAAAAUGACUACAGUCUCCUAGUCUAAGAGUAAAAUAUCCUAAGAUAAAGGACUAACAUACAGUAUCAAAGUUUUUGUAAGUUGAAUUUGCUUUUUGUAUUUUAACUGAAGUUAAAAUAUUCAUGUAGUACAAUUAUAUACUUCAUACUUAGCUGUGCUUGACUUUUGUAUUUGAAUUAUAAUUGUUCUUUUCAAUCAGGAAUUCUAAUCAGUUGUUCCAGUUUCAAUUAACUUAGCAACUUGAUCUGAUUCAAGACAUAGUUACUUACAUACAUAUUAUGUAUUAUAAUUUAGGUUAUAAUUUUAAAUGUAACAAACUUGCCACAGCAAAACUUAUUCUAUAUUAAUUAAGAAUUCAACUUCUCUUUCAAUUAUAGUAAUCAAUAAACAUUUUUUCUUUUGCAUUUUGAUUUGGCUUAGAAACUUAAGUUCAUUACCUUACUUAAAAUACAUUACAUUCCAUUGUCUAAAUGUCUUUGCACAAAGUUAUACUGACUGAAUGUGUAAAGAAUAUAUCGAUGCAAAAAUACCAGAAUAGAAUACAUAAUUUGCACCUUGUUCACAGCAUGUACACCGGAGAGCCUAUUUGCAUGUGAAAAGUGUAUGUGCCAGGUACAUGCUGUGUACUAUUUCUCCGGUGUACUUCCCGCGUACUAUAUAUUCGCAGCCUGUAUGCGGCAGGUAGUAAGCAGCAGAGCUCAUUUGCAUGUCAAAAGUGUACUACAAACGUACUACUGGUGUAUAUGCGGUGUAUAUCCUGCAUACUAUUUCAAGUCCAAGAAUUUAGUCCCCAUCAUGUAUGCGACAAGUACGCCACAUAUACGCAGCAGGAGUACACGGCAGGCCCUUUUCUUUGGUAAGGGUCGUCUAGAAUUACAAGUUUCAACUUCUUGUGUGGAACUGAUUCAGCUAACCGGGCUGACAAUAAAAAUGUUUUAUAUAUUUUUGUCAACAUUUAUAUUUCAAACAUCAUUACAAUGUCUUAUGUAGAGUCAGACAAAGGAGGAGGAGCAGAUCAGGAGGAAGUAAAUGGGGAAGACAGGUUGAGGAGGGGCAGUGAAUUCACUGAGAGAUUGGGAAGAGAAGGUAAUAUCAAUAAUACCAUCUGCCGUAAUAGAAGGAAUCAAUGAUGGGCAGGACAUAUUCAAUAAUAAUGCUGAAGGUGCCAAGGAAACACAUGUGCAACCAAGUACCAGUGAGACCAUUGUGCAGGGGGAGGGGGAGGAGACAGUGGUAAUCCACCCAUUGCAAGUACUAUUCAUGUACAGGUACCUAUAUAAUGUUAUCAAUGACUGUCCUUUUAUGGAAAAAUGGCUAAAAGUUAAAAGUACAAAUUAUUUAGUUCAGAUGCAGGCAAGCAGAAAAUGUGUCAGGUGGAAAUGAAGUCCUUAUGAAAUCCCCCAAAAUCCAGCUAUGUUCACAAUUUUGUUUAUAAAUGUUGUUUGUUUGUUAAGGAUUAAAAAGGAUUGGUACAAGUUUCCCAUAUGGCCAAUGCCCCAGUGAAAGGUGAGUUAUUUAAAGUUUUAAGGGCUCAUUCAACAUAUGUGGUGUCUCAUUCAAGAGACACAAUUUCUUCUUUUACAUGUCAGUGUUUAUAGCACCUAUAUACGAGACAUUUUUCAGUCUCUUGCAAAUCGAGUUAACGUUUGAUAAUAAAAUUUGACAUCAUAGCUUGUUAAUGUAAAACUGUGGGAAAUAUAAUUCCAUACCAAAAAACUGAGAUCUAUGAAAGAGGAUUCCAUCUAAUAUCAUUCCAUUUUCUUGGAAUUCAUGCAAUAACUUAACCGUCUGUAGCUUCCUCAUGUCCUUUACUGUAAAAGACACAUCCAAAUGAAAAAUGCUUGUAUUGUAGGUUGAAAGCAGCAGGCUGUCAACCAGGUCUUCCCCAAAAUAUAGGAAGAAUAUAGGAAUAUUUUCACAACAAAUAUAGGAGUUUUUUGAUAGUUUUGAGGCAAAAUAUAGGAGUUUUCA